rnacentral:rRNA from 1 species
UCGCCUGUUUUUCAAAAACAUCUUUUCUCGUUAGUUUUUGAAGUAUGGCCUGCCCGCUGACUUUAGUGUUGAAGGGCCGCGGUAUUUUGACCGUGCAAAGGUAGCAUAGUCAUUAGUUCUUUAAUUGUGAUCUGGUAUGAAUGGCUUGACGAGGCAUGGGCUGUCUUAAUUUUUAAUUGUUUAUUGAAUUUGGUCUUUGAGUUAAAAUUCUUAGAUGUUUUUAUGGGACGAGAAGACCCUAUAGAGUUUAACAUUUGUUAUGGUCCCCUUUCUGUUUGUGAGGGUUCAUUGGGCCGUUUAAUAUGUUUUGUUGGGGUGAUGGGAGGGAUUAAUUUAACCCCUCCUUUUUAUUAUUAUAUUUAUUUAUAUUUACUGAUCC